UAUAUAGUGAUAAAAUAGUUUGUUGUACGUUACAUGCAAAAAAAGGAAAAAAAUGAUUAAAAUUAUCAAGUUUGUGUAUGCUAUGACCUUCUUGAUUUUCCUAUUUCUUUUUAUAACUGACACUGCUGGUGAGUGUAUUACUUUCCUCGAUUGUUUACAUCUUCCUUGUAUGCCAACUGAAACGCAGCUAUGUGUGGAUAAAAAAUGUAUCUGCAUGGGUUUAACAGCCAAGCAGAACCUCUCAAGAUAAAUACUUUAGUUAUAAAUAAUUAUUUGUCUUAAUUAUUUUGCAAUGCAAACAAAAUAAUGUAUAUUGAAUACAGUUCCUUUUAUUUUAUAUAGUUAUGUGUAUCUUUUAUAAUAUACAUAUAUAUAUUAAAUAAACUAGAGAUAAUAUAAAAUACUUGUGUCAUUAGAUGAAUUA